CGGGGCUUGAAGGUUGAAGCGUUUAGAUGGGCAGUUGGUGGGGCUCUGAGAAGCCGCAGACAGGAUUACGUGGUAAGCAGCCCCAGCUUGGCGGCCCUGAUUGGACGCGGCGAGGCACAGAGGCGGGGCCGGGGCGCAGGGGCGGGGCCAGCGACUGCCAACGCCCCUCCCCCGCGCGGUGCUCAGUCUCGGCGGUUGGCGCUGUCCUGGGGCGGAGGAGACUUGGAGGAGGUGGUAGUAAAUCAGACAUGAUGAAGUGGAUGGCACUCCAGAGCAAGUUUUAGCAAGGAUUUGGGCAAGCAGUGAAUAAUGACCUGUGUUAUGAUGAGAUCUAUAUUUCUCUUGUGACCUGAGAAUAUUCCUCUUCCUCUGUCAAUCCCAAAUUUGAUGCCAUAAUCACUGAAAACAGUGGGAGAGAAGCACUCCUUGUGCUCCUUUUGCACAAGGUAAAUGGUAGAAGAGCUCAAGAAAUUUUCUAAAGCAAUAUAAAUUUCAACUCUGGACAAUAGUAAGUUUCAGCAGAGCAUUUAAACAGUCAACAAGUAGUAGAAAUAAAAGAUCUUUACAGAGACCAACAGAGAUGAGUGGCCUUCUAGCCCUUCUAGACAGUUCUGCGCUUGGGGAGUUAUCAGGAGGACCAGCUCUGUCAGCAGGAUCCAGCAGCGUAGCUUGCCAAGCAGUGACCUGUCCGCACCCCGGAUCCGAACUGGUGAACCCCAGGCCGC